CUUUUGGCACAAGGAUAUUAGUCAUGAAAAAUGCAGUAAAGUUAAUUGAUAUUGAGACACAAACUGUGGGCUUGAGUUGUACAGUUCAUGUCAUUAAGAAAAACGAACACUAGUACAAAAUAGAGCAAAGAAAUAUGGCUUUAGACUACCCUUCUUUAAAGGUAGUGUAUUGUAAAAAAAAAAAAGAGGGCGGUGGCAUAAUCGUAAAUAAAUGAAUAAGAAACAGCUACCCUUUCAGAAACAAGGGUAGUGGUUAACAAAACGGAUGGACCUUCCACUACCCUUGCUACUAAAAAGGGUAGCGGAUAUUUUAAUUAAUAUAAAUAUCCGCUACCCUUUCUAAAAGAAAGGGCAGCUGAAAAAAAAAAACAAAAAACAAAUUUAAAACUAGAUCUGAGAUCGCGAGACUGCUCAGACCUCCGCCUCUCAUAGACCUCGUAGAUCUUGAUCUCACCGACCUCACAGAUCUCGACCUCACAGACUUCCGUCGUCGCCCUCACCUCCGUCGUUCACCUCCCUCAUCCACCCACGCCGUCGCCUCCCUCAUCCUCCUACGACUCCGACGCCUCCCUCAUCCUCCCACGACGCCGGCGCCUCCCUCAACCUCGGACAAAUGCUGCCGCCUACACCAAGCUAAGGACUUCAAUGCCUCUCUCAUCAGCCACCCACGACGCCGCCACCACCGUCUCCACCGCCACAGGUCUCCUUAGCCGCGCCGCCGCUUCUGCGAGUUAGAUCCACCGCCGCAGUUUGAAUACCAAGUAUAGCAUCAAGGAGUGGUGGGUUUCUUGAUUUUCAGCUGGGAAGGAGAGAAAGUAGAGAGGAAAUUUGGGAUUUGUGUUUUUGAUGAAGAAUUGAAGAGAGCAGUUUGUUGGAAGGAAAACAAACACAUGUUUUUAGUAUUGACUAUUGAGGAAUACUAAGAAAUCAAAGGAAAACAAAAACAUGUUUUUAUGCUGCCGAACCAGUUCUCUUGUUAUGUAGCAUGAAAACCACUCCCAAUCUUGUGAACAUGCUAUGCUGGACCAAGGAUUUCUAUAUCACACAAACAUACACCCUUUUCCCCCCUCAAUUCCCCCAGGUCAGAUUUAAACUUGCUGCAAUCUGUCAUGGCCAUCUUGCUGCAAAGGUUAAACACCUAAUGUAGAAAGGGAAUGAAGAAAGGAGAAGGGAUCAGUUGAUUUUGCACUUCUGCUACCCCUGUUCCAGCUGCAUUGAAUCUCCUCAUCAGCAGCUGUUAACAGCAUCAACCUCAUGUCCUCCAGGAUCCCAUGUUCUGUUCUGCUCCAUAUCAGCCACAGGGAUGUAGUCCACUCCUGGUAAUGAAGCAAAAUGUGGGUGUCCUUCCAAACUUAAAACCAGAUUCAAACCUCUAGGAGAUAAUACAUAAGGGAUGUUUUUUGAGAACAAAUUCAAGGAAAAGUGGCAGGAAAACAAACGUGUGAAAGAUGGGCGAAGCACAGACUGCACAGUACUCUCAGAAUUGCAUGCGUGUGGGUUUUAGGGUUUUAGGCUAAGGUCGACUUUGGUAUUUGAAAUCAAUUCGUACCCUACCAACGAAAUUGAAGAGAUUCGAGAAUAUUGGGCAAAAUACUUCUUGGAAGAGUGCUUGUAACUUGUUUUUUGAUUAAGUAUUAUCUUUUGUUUAUAACUUAUUAUUGUGUUGAAAGUAUUUGCGCGGAUUAUUUUGUGAGAUUAUUAUAUUGCAUUGCAUGUGUUAAAAGUAGUGUAUGUGAUAUUAUGUUGAUGGUUAGUAUUGUGUUUAAAAUAUUGAGUUGAUGAUUAGCAUUGGGUUGAUGGUUAA